rnacentral:rRNA from 1 species
UACAGAGGUCUCAAGCGUUUGUUCGGAUUCAUUGGGCGUAAAGGGUGUGUAGGUGGCGCGCUAAGUCGGGGUGUGAAAUUUCGGAGCUUAACUCCGAAACUGCAUUCGAUACUGCGGUGCUUGAGGACUGGAGAGGAGACUGGAAUUCAUGGUGUAGUGGUGAAAAUGCGUAGAUAUCGGGAGGAACACCAGUGGCGAAGGCGACUUUCUGGCCUGU